AGUCUCGUUUAUUCUCGCUCAGUGCGUCAGUAUCUCGAAAAUGAAUCAUAAAGCAAGUGAGCUAGAGAUAUAUUUGAAACGCAAAUGUACCAGUCACGCUAAAUUACAGCUGGAGUCACGCUAGUGUCCAAAUAGCUUCAGCCUUCUAAUAUAUAGGUAAACUUACAAGUAUCUAAUUAAAUAAUAAAAAAGAUACCGUAACAAAA